GACGAACGCUGGCGGCGUGCCUCAAACAUGCAAGUCGAGCGAGGGUUGGUCGCGGGGCAACUCGCGAUCAACUCGAGCGGCGAACGGGUGAGUAACACGUGGGCAACCUGCCCCACAGACGGGGAUACCCUCGGGAAACCGGGGCUAAUACCCGGUACGCUCCUCGGGCGGCAUCGCCUGGGGAGGGAAGGUCGCAAGACGCUGUGGGAUGGGCCCGCGGCCUAUCAGCUAGUUGGUGGGGUAACGGCCCACCAAGGCGACGACGGGUAGCUGGCCUGAGAGGGUGGUCAGCCACACUGGGACUGAGACACGGCCCAGACUCCUACGGGAGGCAGCAGUUGGGAAUCUUGGGCAAUGGGCGCAAGCCUGACCCAGCGACGCCGCGUGGGGGAUGAAGGCCUUCGGGUCGUAAACCCCUUUUAGGAGGGACGAAGCUGCAAGGUGACGGUACCUCCAGAAAAAGCCCCGGCUAACUACGUGC
rnacentral:rRNA from 1 species